rnacentral:lncRNA from 1 species
UUGAAAUGAUCAUCCACUUCUUUACCAAACUCAAGCACUAUGAUCACCCACUCCUUUACCAACUCAAGCACUAUGAUCAUCUACUCAUCAAACACUAUGAUCACCCACUCAUUUACCAAAUUAAUAUCUUUGUUAUUUUAUGUAUUGUUGUUCACUAUAAAUACCAUCACUCAUCUCACUCUUUUGUACACCAUAAACAAGAACAAGAGUAAUUCAUCAAAGAAUCAUUACAUUUUCUUCUUCCUCCUUAUAAUAAACUCUCUCCCUUAUACUAGUGUUAUUUGCUUCCUACGGGUAUUAAAUUCUACUCUUAUUUAAAUUUCACGAUACUAUAAAUUAUAAGUUAUUUCAUAACAA